GAUGAACGCUAGCUACAGGCUUAACACAUGCAAGUCGGGGGGUAACGAGAGGAAAGCUUGCUUUCCUUGUCGACGACCGGCGCACGGGUGAGUAACGCGUAUCCAACCUGCCCCCAACUAAGGAAUAACCUUGCGAAAGUAAGACUAAUACCUUAUAAUUUCCUCAGAUGUCAUCUGACGAGGAAUAAAGAUUUAUCGGAUGUGGAUGGGGAUGCGUCUGAUUAGCUUGUUGGCGGGGUAACGGCCCACCAAGGCAACGAUCAGUAGGGGUUCUGAGAGGAAGGUCCCCCACAUUGGAACUGAGACACGGUCCAAACUCCUACAGGAGGCAGCAGUGAGGAAUAUUGGUCAAUGGGCGGAAGCCUGAACCAGCCAAGUAGCGUGCAGGAUGACGGCCCUAUGGGUUGUAAACUGCUUUUAUACAGGAAUAAAGUUAGCCACGUGUGGUUAUUUGUAGGUACUGUAUGAAUAAGGACCGGCUAAUUCCGUGCCAGCAGCCGCGGUAA
rnacentral:rRNA from 1 species